GACGGAGGGCGCAAACGUUGUUCGGAAUCACUGGGCGUAAAGGGCGCGUAGGCGGAUCGGUAAGUCAGACGUGAAAUCCCGGGGCUCAACUCCGGGCCUGCGUUUGAAACUGCCGGUCUAGAGUUCAGGAGAGGAAGGCGGAAUUCCAGGUGUAGCGGUGGAAUGCGUAGAUAUCUGGAAGAACACCAGUGGCGAAGGCGGCCUUCUGGACUGACACUGACGCUGAGGCGCGAAAGCUAGGGGAGCAAACAGG
rnacentral:rRNA from 1 species